rnacentral:snoRNA from 1 species
AGCACUUGUAUGUAUUUUUGUUUAGCUUGUAAGCAAAGACUUAUAGACAGGUGUAAAAAAUAAAUCCUCUUUUGCAACCCAGAAUACAUUAUACUGUAUGAGUUUUGAUAUAUAUAGGGAAUAUG